AGGCACCUUUCCUAGAAAGCUGAAAAGCAGCUCAGUUAAGUUUCUUCUCUGCUGUUUUCAUGGAGUGGGCUUGAAAACCUAGAUUCAAGAUACUCAGUUAAUCAGUCGCAGCUAUGUAAUAGUAUCCCACAAAAGGAAGUAUAGUAUGUAUGUGCUAUUUGGAAUUUCUGGAACUUCUCAAAGGGUUUUGUUUUUGAAUUUUUGAGACAGGGUAUUUCAGUGUUACCCUGGAACUACGAGUCCCAGACUAGCUAUGUAUUUGGGGACAAUUCUAUCUCCUUCCUUAGCCAUCAGGCACAGUAAUUUCCCUAUGCAAUCCUUGGCUGCCCUCCAACUCCAAUUUAUAAUUCUGUUUCAGCCUCAAAGUGUUGAAACGACAGGUGCUGCCUACCAUGGGUUGCUCUGAAAGUGUUUGUCUGUUUGUUUGUGUUUGUGUUUUUGCUUUAUUUGAUUUGGCAGCUAGGUAUGCUUUUAUGGAAUUGAAAGCAAAAAUAUAGCUGCGGCCUUGAAUUAAUUUUCAAAGGCUUUGGAGAAAUAAUGAAAGUGUUUUGGUUGUAUCCAUAAUUCAAAGUAGUUUCAUAGUAAAAGAGGCAUUUAGUAGCAGAAGAUAAAACUAAAGAAAAAAAUAUGAAAAAACUAAGUGAGACCUGAGUCUCCCUUUAGGCAGUAAGGGUGGGCCCGACUUCCAUCGUAUAUCUUGACUAUGUAUCAUCCUUGUAGGAGCUAAAGAACCAAACUCAAGGAUAGGUUCACGCGGCUGGCUCAGGAUUCCGUUGGUUUGUUUUAAGAUUUAUUUGUUUACUUUUAAUUUUUUUUUCUUUUUUUCUUUCCUUUUUUUUGUUUUUUGUUUUGUUUUGUUUUGUUUUGUUUUGUUUUGUUUGUUUGUUGUUUUGAGGCAGGGUUUCUCUGUAUAGCCCUGGCUAUCCUGGAACUCACUCUGUAGACCAAGCUGGCCUUGAACUCAGAAAUCCUCCUGCCUCUGCCUCCCAAGUGCUGGGAUUAAAGGCGUGUGCCACCACGCCCGGCAUAAUUUUAUUUGUUUUUAAGAUUUAUUUAUUUAUUUAUUAUUUGUGUUUUUAUGUAUGAGUGCUCUAUCAGCAUGCCAGAAGAGGGCAUCAGAUCCCAUUAUAGAUGGUUGUGAGCCACCAUGUGGUUGCUAGGAGUUGAACUCAGUACCUCUGGAAGAAAAGCCCGUGAACAUUUACCUGCUGAGACAUCUCCCCAGUCCCGAGGUUUCCUUCUAAAAGGACACAGAAAAGGGAACUAGGUCAGACAACUGCGAUAGGUUUUUGGUUGGGUUUUUUUGUUUGUUUGUUUGUUUGUUUCUCUGCUACUGGUGAAAUGAAUCAAUUCAAGCCAGAAUAAGAUUAUAUUAAGUGCAGGAUUAUUGGGAAGCUGCUCUCUGGCCCCAAGGACAGAAGCCAGAGAGGAAGGAAGAGAAUUGUACAUAUUCUCUGCUCACUCCUUUUCGAGUUUCCUUCCCGUUUGAGGGUAUGAGAAAUGGCUUGAGAUGACUUUGGCAACCUUUGAUCUUCAGGUACUCUUGCUCCAUUAAGCUCAUCAAGAGCUAAGAAAGGCUCUAUAGCUCGCAAAGCAAUCAGUACCACUAACCUAACCUGUUUUGUAUCACUAAUUUUAAGUGUCUUUCUGCUAAAGCUCAAUGUUACUAGUAGAUUUCCUAUAGAUACACAUAUGCCAUCCCUAGCCAUGAUGCUGAUGAUCGCCUAAGUUGUUUUCCAGAUUUUGAGGUUGGAAGCUGGUUUUGUUUUGUUCAAAGAGUGACUUUCUGUCUAAUAUGGGGCCUGAACUCUCAGCUAUUAGCCCCCCCAACAAAGUCAGGUAUUAAGGACAAACUCUUCCCCCCCCCCCCCCCCCAGGGUUUCUCUGUGUAGCCCUGGCUGUCCUGGAAUUCACUCUAUAGAUCAGGCUGGCCUCGAACUCAGAAAUCCACCUGCUUUUGCCUCCCAAGUGCUGGGAUUAAAGGCACGUGCCACCACUGCCCAGCAAGGACAAACUCUUAUAUUAAUAAACCUUCGAAGUAUUUUUCCUUAGCACCCUGUAUUAAUCAGGAUUCUCUAGAGUCACAGAAUUUAUGGGUAGUCUCUAUAGUGAAGAAAUUUGUUAUGAUGACUUACAAUUUGUAAUCCAACUCAGCACUUCUGUGAAUGGGAAGUCCAAGGAUCUAGUAGUUGCUCAAUCCCACAAGAAGAACACCAUGCCAAGAUCCAGAUCAGAAACUUCUAUCUCCCAGCCUCAAGGUCUGGAUCACAGCAGGUGCAUGCCCAAUACUCAUGAAGAUCAGAAGAAGGCAUUCUAUGGUUCUGAAAAUUGCCGAAAGAAGACUCCAGACUCAGAUAGUCUUCAGAAACAACCAGCAUGUGAGGGGUUGGGAGUGUCAACCAUUCUUUGAAAUGUUGACCCCCAGACAAAGGUGCACAAGCCUUCUUAUAGGGAACCAGGAACUCUCUAGAGGAACUAGCAUCAGAUCCCCUGAUAUUGGAGUUAUGAGUUACAAGUGAUUAUGAGUCACCAUGUGGAUGCUAAGAAUUGAACCCAGGUCUUCUGUAAGAACAGGCGACCCCUCUGAAAGGGUUGUUUGACCUGAGAAGGGGUCAUAGAGCUGCUGUGCUAGAUGAGAAAUUUUUCCUGAUGCAUCUGACUGUGAAGUUGAUCUGAAGAUAUUUAGAGGACAAAUUUAUCAAGUUCACCAUUGGAGAUCUAUGUAGUAUUAUGUAAAACAGUUUAUCUCCAUUAUAUUAUAUCACCAGUAUUUUUAGCUUAUUUUAAAAAAUAAUUUAUUUUUAAUUUUCAAUAAAUACUUGCUACAUAGUC
rnacentral:lncRNA from 1 species